GGGUUGUGAGGUUAAGCGACUAAGCGUACACGGUGGAUGCCCUGGCAGUCAGAGGCGAUGAAGGACGUGCUAAUCUGCGAUAAGCGUCGGUAAGGUGAUAUGAACCGUUAUAACCGGCGAUUUCCGAAUGGGGAAACCCAGUGUGAUUCGUCACACUAUCAUUAACUGAAUCCAUAGGUUAAUGAGGCGAACCGGGGGAACUGAAACAUCUAAGUACCCCGAGGAAAAGAAAUCAACCGAGAUUCCCCCAGUAGCGGCGAGCGAACGGGGAGCAGCCCAGAGCCUGAAUCAGUGUGUGUGUUAGUGGAAGCGUCUGGAAAGGCGCGCGAUACAGGGUGACAGCCCCGUACACAAAAAUGCACAUGCUGUGAGCUCGAUGAGUAGGGCGGGACACGUGGUAUCCUGUCUGAAUAUGGGGGGACCAUCCUCCAAGGCUAAAUACUCCUGACUGACCGAUAGUGAACCAGUACCGUGAGGGAAAGGCGAAAAGAACCCCGGCGAGGGGAGUGAAAAAGAACCUGAAACCGUGUACGUACAAGCAGUGGGAGCCUCUUUAUGGGGUGACUGCGUACCUUUUGUAUAAUGGGUCAGCGACUUAUAUUCUGUAGCAAGGUUAACCGAAUAGGGGAGCCGAAGGGAAACCGAGUCUUAACUGGGCGUUAAGUUGCAGGGUAUAGACCCGAAACCCGGUGAUCUAGCCAUGGGCAGGUUGAAGGUUGGGUAACACUAACUGGAGGACCGAACCGACUAAUGUUGAAAAAUUAGCGGAUGACUUGUGGCUGGGGGUGAAAGGCCAAUCAAACCGGGAGAUAGCUGGUUCUCCCCGAAAGCUAUUUAGGUAGCGCCUCGUGAAUUCAUCUCCGGGGGUAGAGCACUGUUUCGGCAAGGGGGUCAUCCCGACUUACCAACCCGAUGCAAACUGCGAAUACCGGAGAAUGUUAUCACGGGAGACACACGGCGGGUGCUAACGUCCGUCGUGAAGAGGGAAACAACCCAGACCGCCAGCUAAGGUCCCAAAGUCAUGGUUAAGUGGGAAACGAUGUGGGAAGGCCCAGACAGCCAGGAUGUUGGCUUAGAAGCAGCCAUCAUUUAAAGAAAGCGUAAUAGCUCACUGGUCGAGUCGGCCUGCGCGGAAGAUGUAACGGGGCUAAACCAUGCACCGAAGCUGCGGCAGCGACACUAUGUGUUGUUGGGUAGGGGAGCGUUCUGUAAGCCUGUGAAGGUGUACUGUGAGGUAUGCUGGAGGUAUCAGAAGUGCGAAUGCUGACAUAAGUAACGAUAAAGCGGGUGAAAAGCCCGCUCGCCGGAAGACCAAGGGUUCCUGUCCAACGUUAAUCGGGGCAGGGUGAGUCGACCCCUAAGGCGAGGCCGAAAGGCGUAGUCGAUGGGAAACAGGUUAAUAUUCCUGUACUUGGUGUUACUGCGAAGGGGGGACGGAGAAGGCUAUGUUGGCCGGGCGACGGUUGUCCCGGUUUAAGCGUGUAGGCUGGUUUUCCAGGCAAAUCCGGAAAAUCAAGGCUGAGGCGUGAUGACGAGGCACUACGGUGCUGAAGCAACAAAUGCCCUGCUUCCAGGAAAAGCCUCUAAGCAUCAGGUAACAUCAAAUCGUACCCCAAACCGACACAGGUGGUCAGGUAGAGAAUACCAAGGCGCUUGAGAGAACUCGGGUGAAGGAACUAGGCAAAAUGGUGCCGUAACUUCGGGAGAAGGCACGCUGAUAUGUAGGUGAAGCGACUUGCUCGUGGAGCUGAAAUCAGUCGAAGAUACCAGCUGGCUGCAACUGUUUAUUAAAAACACAGCACUGUGCAAACACGAAAGUGGACGUAUACGGUGUGACGCCUGCCCGGUGCCGGAAGGUUAAUUGAUGGGGUUAGCGGUAACGCGAAGCUCUUGAUCGAAGCCCCGGUAAACGGCGGCCGUAACUAUAACGGUCCUAAGGUAGCGAAAUUCCUUGUCGGGUAAGUUCCGACCUGCACGAAUGGCGUAAUGAUGGCCAGGCUGUCUCCACCCGAGACUCAGUGAAAUUGAACUCGCUGUGAAGAUGCAGUGUACCCGCGGCAAGACGGAAAGACCCCGUGAACCUUUACUAUAGCUUGACACUGAACAUUGAGCCUUGAUGUGUAGGAUAGGUGGGAGGCUUUGAAGUGUGGACGCCAGUCUGCAUGGAGCCGACCUUGAAAUACCACCCUUUAAUGUUUGAUGUUCUAACGUUGACCCGUUAUCCGGGUUGCGGACAGUGUCUGGUGGGUAGUUUGACUGGGGCGGUCUCCUCCUAAAGAGUAACGGAGGAGCACGAAGGUUGGCUAAUCCUGGUCGGACAUCAGGAGGUUAGUGCAAUGGCAUAAGCCAGCUUGACUGCGAGCGUGACGGCGCGAGCAGGUGCGAAAGCAGGUCAUAGUGAUCCGGUGGUUCUGAAUGGAAGGGCCAUCGCUCAACGGAUAAAAGGUACUCCGGGGAUAACAGGCUGAUACCGCCCAAGAGUUCAUAUCGACGGCGGUGUUUGGCACCUCGAUGUCGGCUCAUCACAUCCUGGGGCUGAAGUAGGUCCCAAGGGUAUGGCUGUUCGCCAUUUAAAGUGGUACGCGAGCUGGGUUUAGAACGUCGUGAGACAGUUCGGUCCCUAUCUGCCGUGGGCGCUGGAGAACUGAGGGGGGCUGCUCCUAGUACGAGAGGACCGGAGUGGACGCAUCACUGGUGUUCGGGUUGUCAUGCCAAUGGCACUGCCCGGUAGCUAAAUGCGGAAGAGAUAAGUGCUGAAAGCAUCUAAGCACGAAACUUGCCCCGAGAUGAGUUCUCCCUGACUCCUUGAGAGUCCUGAAGGAACGUUGAAGACGACGACGUUGAUAGGCCGGGUGUGUAAGCGCAGCGAUGCGUUGAGCUAACCGGUACUAAUGAACCGUGAGGCUUAACCUUACAACGCCGAAG
rnacentral:rRNA from 1 species